rnacentral:lncRNA from 1 species
AUGGGGGGGAGCAAAGGGUCCCCACCCACCCCUCUGUCUCUAGUGGAGAUGGGGAGAAGGACAAAGGAGCGCUCUCCUUCCUCCGGUCCCCCUCCUCAAAAGGGCAGCAGUGUCCGCCUGUGCGGGGGCAUGCGGCGAAGUGAUUGUGAGAGACUCUGUUGGAAUUUGGCAGCGUGGCGGCUUUGGAACGGCGCCCCACACUGACUGUCAUUCAGCGGGCCUGCGCGACUCACUGUGCCGCUGGGAAGUGUCGCUCAUCCGUGCACUCAUUGGCCUUACAAAGCUGAUUACAAGCAUCAGCGAAUUCCUGAAGGCAAUGAGAGGCGAUGCAGGUGCACGAGAGGGUAAGUUCCUGGUUGGAAAAUUCGCAGAUGAAGCUGAAAGUUGUGAAUACCCAAAACAGCCUCACCCAGUAAGACUUUGAUAAGUAGUCCAUAAGAGGCGCUAAAAUACUAAACAUUUAGACUACCAUUUCUGAAAAGAACUUUUUUAUCUCUCUCUUUAUUAGGAGACUUACAAUAGCCUACUACUGGAGAAAGAGCACUGUAGCAUCGACAGUCUGAGUUUUGUUAUAUGUUAUAUUGAAUUAGGAAUAUUUAGUUCAACCUCGGUUUCAAAAUGCUUUGAAUAGCCUACACAUCCGAAUUAAAAUAAGUUUUUUUUUGUAUGAAUAGUUUUCAUGAGAUAAAAAUCUCAAUAAAAU